rnacentral:tRNA from 1 species
GGGGCCGUAGUCUAGCCAGGGAUGACGACAGUCGUGCCGACAAACGGUGUCAACCGUUAAGGGCUCCAGAAAUAAGCAUGGGUUUGCUGACCACUCUGGGAUGAAGAGAUUCUGGAGCGAGGAGAAACCCGUAGGUCGUCGGUUCAACUCCGGCCGGCCCCACCA